AUUUAUAUUCAUCUUUUAAACUGGGAAGAUUUAUAUUUUAUUUUAAAACUUCUUGAUCUUUACAAUGAAUGGACACAGUGAUGAAGAAAGUGUUAGAAACAGUAGUGGAGAAUCAAGGAAGUGACAGAGACUUGUGUCUUGGACACGAAGUAAAACUGCUUUAUUACUGAAGCAAGAUUUCUUUUUCCACCUGACAACAUCCUAGCCAAUGAGAAACAUCACAGCUCAACCAACGAAACACGUCGCAGCUCAACCAUCGAGAAACGCUGCAGCUCAGCCACCGAGAAACACCGCAGCUCAGCCACCGAGAAACGCCGCAGCUCAGCCAUCGAGAAACGCUGCAGCUCAGCCAACCAGAAACGUGGCAGCUCAGCCAUCGAGAAACGCCGCAGCUCAGCCAACCAGAAACGUGGCAGCUCAGCCAUCGAGAAACGCUGCAGCUCAGCCAUCGAGAAACGCCGCAGCUCAGCCAGUGAGAAACGCCGCAGCUCAGCCAGUGAGAAACGCCGCAGCUCAGCCAUCGAGAAACGCCGCAGCUCAGCCAUCGAGAAACGCCGCAGCUCAGCCAGUGAGAAGCCUUUGCUGCCUUGACCUUUACUUUCUCCCAAUGGAUUUUCCUUUAGAACAGCCCCUCCUUACUCCUGCUCUUCUCUAUAAAAGCAGCUCCCCUCCUUUCUUUUCUGGAUUUGCCUGUGGUUUGCCAUAGCAUGUAUAUCCUGAAU